UACGUAGGGGGCAAGCGUUGUCCGGAAUCAUUGGGCGUAAAGGGCGCGUAGGCGGCCGAUCAAGUUAGAUGUGAAAGUCCUGGGCUUAACCUGGGGACUGCAUUUGAUACUGAUUGGCUUGAAUUCGGGAGAGGAUAGCGGAAUUCCCAGUGUAGAGGUGAAAUUCGUAGAUAUUGGGAAGAACACCGGUGGCGAAGGCGGCUAUCUGGACCGACAUUGACGCUGAGGCGCGAAAGCGUGGGGAGCAAACAGG
rnacentral:rRNA from 1 species